AUACUUACCUGGCAGAGGGGAUACCAUGACCAUGAAGGCAGUUUUCCCUGGGUGAGGUUUAUCUGCUGCACUCUGGAUGUGCUGGCCCCUGUGAUUUCCCAAAUGUGGGAAACUCCACUGGACAAUUUGUGGUAGUGGGCAGCUGCGUCCUCACUCUCCCCU